ensembl:misc_RNA 7SK 7SK RNA
GGAUGUGAGGGCGAUCUGGCUGCGACAUCUGUCACCCCAUUGAUCGCCAGGGUUGAUUCGGCUGAUCUGGCUGGCUAGGCGGGUGUCCCCUUCCUCCCUCACCGCUCCAUGUGCGUCCCUCCCGAAGCUGCGCGCUCGGUCGAAGAGGACGACCAUCCCCGAUAGAGGAGGACCGGUCUUCGGUCAAGGGUAUACGAGUAGCUGCGCUCCCCUGCUAGAACCUCCAAACAAGCUCUCAAGGUCCAUUUGUAGGAGAACGUAGGGUAGUCAAGCUUCCAAGACUCCAGACACAUCCAAAUGAGGCGCUGCAUGUGGCAGUUUGCCUUUCUUU